CACAACUGGUCCACCACAAUCAUCUCACCUUACAAGAAGCACUUCUGCAACCUUGAGGUCUUCCCCCAGCACACCUUUUGCAACAGAAGGAAGUACCUAUGUUACAACAAGUCAAGCAACUCCAUGUUUUUGUCAUGUGCUUGGUGAUUUUUUUUCUCCAGGGCAAGUUGUAUACAACAGAACAGAUAGUGCUGGCUGUAAUUUUUAUGCCCUUUGCAACAAGGAUUGUGAAGUUGACGCAUAUCAAGGGCCAUGUCCUUCAACAACUCCUUUCACUGCAACAAACUCAGGAACUACAACACAAGUCUCAUCAUCUGUACCACCUGUAUUCUCUUCUGCUUCACCAACUACAGCAACAUCCCUCACAACUUCAGUAGAAAGAAACUGUACUGACGUCAAUCCUCCACGAAAGCCUGGAGAGAAAUGGAAGAGUGAAUGCAAGGAGUGUAUCUGUGACCCACUCACUGGUAAUGCGCAAUGCCAUCUACCCCCAU